rnacentral:rRNA from 1 species
AGCGAACGCUGGCGGCAGGCCUAACACAUGCAAGUCGAACGAACUCUUCGGAGUUAGUGGCGGACGGGUGAGUAACACGUGGGAACGUGCCUUUAGGUUCGGAAUAACUCAGGGAAACUUGUGCUAAUACCGAAUGUGCCCUUCGGGGGAAAGAUUUAUCGCCUUUAGAGCGGCCCGCGUCUGAUUAGCUAGUUGGUGAGGUAAAGGCUCACCAAGGCGACGAUCAGUAGCUGGUUUGAGAGGAUGAUCAGCCACAUUGGGACUGAGACACGGCCCAAACUCCUACGGGAGGCAGCAGUGGGGAAUCUUGCGCAAUGGGCGAAAGCCUGACGCAGCCAUGCCGCGUGAAUGAUGAAGGUCUUAGGAUUGUAAAAUUCUUUCACCGGGGACGAUAAUGACGGUACCCGGAGAAGAAGCCCCGGCUAACUUCGUG